GGUGGUAUAAAAAUUGAAGCAUAGUUUUCUGUCGAUAUGCACAUCUACAUAGUAUGUCAUUUUAAGCUAAAAAUGUUCAUGACAUUCUGUUGUGUGGUUUCAGACGAGUUGCGAUGACAUACUGUUCCAGUAGUAAAUUGAGGUAAAUACGUUCAAAAGGGCGUAACUCCUAGAAACUAGAGGCUCUAAAGAGCCUGUGUCCCUC
rnacentral:lncRNA from 1 species